UNGUAGUAUCCACCGAAACAAAUUUGCAAC
rnacentral:piRNA from 1 species